rnacentral:rRNA from 1 species
AGGGGGGGGGGGGGGCUUACCAUGCAAGUCGACGAUGAAGCCCUUCGGGGUGGAUUAGUGGCGAACGGGUGAGUAACACGUGGGCAAUCUGCCCUUCACUCUGGGACAAGCCCUGGAAACGGGGUCUAAUACCGGAUAACACCGGCCUCCGCAUGGAGGCUGGUUGAAAGCUCCGGCGGUGAAGGAUGAGCCCGCGGCCUAUCAGCUUGUUGGUGGGGUAAUGGCCUACCAAGGCGACGACGGGUAGCCGGCCUGAGAGGGCGACCGGCCACACUGGGACUGAGACACGGCCCAAACUCCUACGGGAGGCAGCAGUGGGGAAUAUUGCACAAUGGGCGAAAGCCUGAUGCAGCGACGCCGCGUGAGGGAUGACGGCCUUCGGGUUGUAAACCUCUUUCAGCAGGGAAGAAGCGAAAGUGACGGUACCUGCAGAAGAAGCGCCGGCUAACUACGUGCCAGCAGCCGCGGUAAUACGUAGGGCGCAAGCGUUGUCCGGAAUUAUUGGGCGUAAAGAGCUCGUAGGCGGCUUGUCACGUCGGGUGUGAAAGCCCGGGGCUUAACCCCGGGUCUGCAUCCGAUACGGGCAGGCUAGAGUGUGGUAGGGGAGAUCGGAAUUCCUGGUGUAGCGGUGAAAUGCGCAGAUAUCAGGAGGAACACCGGUGGCGAAGGCGGAUCUCUGGGCCAUUACUGACGCUGAGGAGCGAAAGCGUGGGGAGCGAACAGGAUUAGAUACCCUGGUAGUCCACGCCGUAAACGUUGGGAACUAGGUGUUGGCGACAUUCCACGUCGUCGGUGCCGCAGCUAACGCAUUAAGUUCCCCGCCUGGGGAGUACGGCCGCAAGGCUAAAACUCAAAGGAAUUGACGGGGGCCCGCACAAGCAGCGGAGCAUGUGGCUUAAUUCGACGCAACGCGAAGAACCUUACCAAGGCUUGACAUAUACCGGAAAGCAUUAGAGAUAGUGCCCCCCUUGUGGUCGGUAUACAGGUGGUGCAUGGCUGUCGUCAGCUCGUGUCGUGAGAUGUUGGGUUAAGUCCCGCAACGAGCGCAACCCUUGUCCUGUGUUGCCAGCAUGCCCUUCGGGGUGAUGGGGACUCACAGGAGACCGCCGGGGUCAACUCGGAGGAAGGUGGGGACGACGUCAAGUCAUCAUGCCCCUUAUGUCUUGGGCUGCACACGUGCUACAAUGGCCGGUACAAAGAGCUGCGAUGCCGCGAGGCGGAGCGAAUCUCAAAAAGCCGGUCUCAGUUCGGAUUGGGGUCUGCAACUCGACCCCAUGAAGUCGGAGUUGCUAGUAAUCGCAGAUCAGCAUUGCUGCGGUGAAUACGUUCCCGGGCCUUGUACACACCGCCCGUCACGUCACGAAAGUCGGUAACACCCGAAGCCGGUGGCCCAACCCCUUGUGGGACGCAGCGUCGAAAGGUGAAUGGCU